CAUUCAACGAGCAAGAGGGGAGCACUGCCUCAGUUAAUUUAACUCCCACAAAUUCCCAUUGCUGCUGAGAAAGAUUGUGCUGCCUAGCAGAUAAAACAGCCUCUUUAUAUUUCAAAAGGUUAGAGAUUAGAUCUGGUUACUGUUAUACUUUUAUUAAAAUUUCUAUUUACAUUUUUUUCAUUGAUGCAAUUACAGAAAAGACAGAAAGAACGUUUUCAAUUCAGUUCUUGAGCACUGAAAUAUCCCCUGGCCUGUAGAUUACAUGCAUGUAGAAAGCCACAGCCCUGUUUCCCUUCCCUGCAGAUGGGCAGGGAGGAGCUGGUGCAGGCAGUGCCUGUCCUCCUCCGUGCACCACGCUGCCGAGUGCCGAGAACUAGCACAGGGCUUGACCGAAUUUCUCAGGCUUGUAAAAAAAGGGGAGGUGAGCCUCUGAACAGAAGGACUCUGCAGAUUUUUUUCCUCCUGGAAAAUAGCUUUGGUUAUAUCCCAGAUGUGAAGCUCAGAGGAAUUUGCAGUCUGGCCUCUGGUGCAUCCCCCUGUGGUUUUGGUAGGGUUGCAGAGGCAGAGAUCGAGCUGCUUUACUUGCACCAGCUGAAUCUUCAUGAUGCAAAGCCAGGUAUUACAGCAAGAGUGCAGGACUCUGGGCUGCCAUGCACGUGGCAUCAGGUGAGUGCCUACAGGUAACGGCAAGGACAAGAAAACCAAAACCUAUGGGCACUUGCAUAGAGGCAAGUCCAGAGUCCCUCCAGAUGGAAAGAAGAAUUGGGCUGCUUGGGAGGAGCAUUGCCCACGUGGAGCAGGAGGAGAGGCAGGGCAUGCACACAGCGAUACUGCUCCCACUCUUGGCAAGCAGCUUUCUGCCAGAAGACCAUCGAGUAGCGUCGCAGCCUUGGGAACAGUGGAGAUCGCUUUGUUUCUCACCACAUGUGCCCGGCCCUGGGAAGGAGAGCAGUAUGACGAAGAGCGCACACUGCUUAGGACACUUUCACUUCACUGAGGAUAGGAAGCAAAAAAGAAAAAUGCAUUCAAUUGACAUUGGGGGAGAAAUUUAG
rnacentral:lncRNA from 1 species